rnacentral:rRNA from 1 species
AUUGAACGCUGGCGGCAGGCCUAACACAUGCAAGUCGAGCGGCAGCGACUUAACUGAACCUUCGGAGAACGUUAAGGGCGGCGAGCGGCGGACGGGUGAGUAAUGCCUGGGAAUAUGCCCUGAUGUGGGGGAUAACUAUUGGAAACGAUAGCUAAUACCGCAUAAUCUCUUCGGAGCAAAGAGGGGGACCUUCGGGCCUCUCGCGUCAGGAUUAGCCCAGGUGGGAUUAGCUUGUUGGUGAGGUAAUGGCUCACCAAGGCAACGAUCCCUAGCUGGUCUGAGAGGAUGAUCAGCCACACUGGAACUGAGACACGGUCCAGACUCCUACGGGAGGCAGCAGUGGGGAAUAUUGCACAAUGGGGGAAACCCUGAUGCAGCCAUGCCGCGUGUGUGAAGAAGGCCUUCGGGUUGUAAAGCACUUUCAGUAGGGAGGAAGGUAGUGUAGUUAACACCUGCACUAUUUGACGUUACCUACAGAAGAAGCACCGGCUAACUCCGUGCCAGCAGCCGCGGUAAUACGGAGGGUGCGAGCGUUAAUCGGAAUUACUGGGCGUAAAGCGCAUGCAGGCGGCCUGUUAAGUCAGAUGUGAAAGCCCGGGGCUUAACCUCGGAAUUGCAUUUGAAACUGGCAGGCUAGAGUCUUGUAGAGGGGGGUAGAAUUUCAGGUGUAGCGGUGAAAUGCGUAGAGAUCUGAAGGAAUACCAGUGGCGAAGCGGCCCCCUGGACAAAGACUGACGCUCAGAUGCGAAAGCGUGGGGAGCAAACAGG